rnacentral:rRNA from 1 species
GAUGAACGCUGGCGGCGUGCCUAAUACAUGCAAGUCGAGCGAACGGACGAGAAUCUUGCUUCUCUGAUGUUAGCGGCGGACGGGUGAGUAACACGUGGAUAACCUACCUAUAAGACUGGGAUAACUUCGAGAAACCGGAGCUAAUACCGUAUGAUAUUUUGAACCGCAUGGUUCGAAAGUGAAAGACGGUCUUGCUGUCACUUAUAGAUGGAUCCGCGCUGCAUUAGCUAGUUGGUAAGGUAACGGCUUACCAAGGCAACGAUGCAUAGCCGACCUGAGAGGGUGAUCGGCCACACUGGAACUGAGACACGGUCCAGACUCCUACGGGAGGCAGCAGUAGGGAAUCUUCCGCAAUGGGCGAAAGCCUGACGGAGCAACGCCGCGUGAGUGAUGAAGGUCUUCGGAUCGUAAAACUCUGUUAUUAGGGAAGAACAUAUGUGUAAGUAAAUGUGCACAUCUUGACGGUACCUACUCAGAAAGCCACGGCUAACUACGUG